rnacentral:rRNA from 1 species
AACGAACGCUGGCGGCAUGCCUAACACAUGCAAGUCGCGCGAGAAAGUCCGCAAGGAUGAGUAAAGCGGCGAACGGGUGAGUAACACGUAGGUAACCUGCCUUACAGUCCGGGACAACCUGUCGAAAGACGGGCUAAUACUGGAUAAGACCACGACUCUUUCGGGAGCAGUGGUAAAAGAUGGCCUCUUCAUGAAAGCUAUCGCUGAAAGAUGGGCCUGCGCACCAUUAGCUAGUUGGUAGGGUAAUGGCCUACCAAGGCUACGAUGGUUAGCUGAUCUUAGAGGAUGAUCAGCCACACUGGAACUGAAACACGGUCCAGACUCCUACGGGUGGCUG